AUUGAACGCUGGCGGCAGGCCUAACACAUGCAAGUCGAGCGGAUGAAGGGAGCUUGCUCCUGGAUUCAGCGGCGGACGGGUGAGUAAUGCCUAGGAAUCUGCCUGGUAGUGGGGGAUAACGUCCGGAAACGGGCGCUAAUACCGCAUACGUCCUGAGGGAGAAAGUGGGGGAUCUUCGGACCUCACGCUAUCAGAUGAGCCUAGGUCGGAUUAGCUAGUUGGUGGGGUAAAGGCCUACCAAGGCGACGAUCCGUAACUGGUCUGAGAGGAUGAUCAGUCACACUGGAACUGAGACACGGUCCAGACUCCUACGGGAGGCAGCAGUGGGGAAUAUUGGACAAUGGGCGAAAGCCUGACCCAGCAAUGCCGCGUGUGUGAAGAAGGUCUUCGGAUUGUAAAGCACUUUAAGUUGGGAGGAAGGGCAGUAAGUGAAUACCUUGCUGUUUUGACGGUACCAAAAGAAUAAGCACCGGCUAACUUCGUG
rnacentral:rRNA from 1 species